GUGGUAUUUGUGGAAGUGAAGUUUGCUGCAGACCCGACAUAUGCUUUUUAUUUGUUAGAGUAGGUGUCUGGGCCUUGGCAUUCUCCUUCCUGGCUUUCUAAGUGUUAGAAUUUCACUCUCCUUUUCUCAGUCCAAAUGAAGCCAGACCUUCUGAUCGUGCCCAGCAGAUACAAGAGUCUCAGAUGAGGAUGCUGUUGGAAUUUGCCGAAUGCCUCAGAAAGGUCAGCCUCCUGCUCAUCCAUCCAGGACGACAAAAGACAAGGAGGAGGGAGACUGUCUCCCUUCAGCAGCCCAUAGCACUUCGGUGGACCUGCAUCUGCUGAUAGCCUGAAUCAAACUCAGGACCUUGAGCUUGCCAGGUGGCCUUCAUCAAGUUGAGGAAAUUCCUCUCACUUCUUAGUUUGCAAGUGUUUUCAUAAGGAAUGAAU
rnacentral:lncRNA from 1 species